GAGGAGCCUGACAGGCUAUAUAUAGUUAGUGGGGUCCCAAAGAGUUGCACACGACUUAUCGACUAAACAACAACAACAUCAACUAUUUCAAAAUGGAAAUCUGUUUUGUCUAGCAGCUAGUAAGCUGGUAGUACCCCUGCUCCUGUGCAGAAGGCCUGCAAAACUCUGAAGCUAUACUUGUACGCAGAUGUGGUCAAAUGAUGCCAUCUCAUCUCAUUGGCAACCAGAUGUCUCAGUUGCUGUCUGGUGCCAGCGUCUUGGAUGCAUAAUUCCAAGGAACCACCUGGUGUGAGUGACAUGGAUGACACUCAAGGAAGCUGGUUCUUGCAAUACCUCCUGGGCGGCACCUCGUGACUUGAGACUAGCCAUCAGGAAGUUUUAAUGACUCCAUGCCUGCAUAUUUCCUGGGCAAACAUGUCUGCUAUAUUGGGAUGAGGAAACAAAAACCCUCUAGAAAAGGUCCUACUGAAAGAUGGGGCGGCGGUGGUGGGGGGGUGGCAGAGUUCCUGACAAGACUCAAGGUCCAGCCUCAGAUAAGGAUGCCGUAGAGCAUAAGGAUGCUCUCUAAGGAGCAGUGGUCCUGAGGCCGUCCCAUCAGGGGCAGAACCACCCCUGCUCGCCCUCAUCAGUGCUGUCUCAGGGGAUCAGUGUUAAGGCCACUCACUGGGGAGCUGAGAGACGUGUGGCAUAAGAGAACCAGGACAAGGAGAAACACAGAUGGAAAGGCAGUAGCUGGCGAUUAGAACAUGGCUUCAGACACCACGGCCACAGAAGCGGUCUAGCUACAAAGCCACGCGGUGCAAUCUUGAAGCAAAACGUUAUUGAUUUUGUGGUUGUAAAAACGUACCUUCAACUGCAGAACUCAGUUUUAUGACACCUUGAAUAAAAACAAAAAGUCGCAGUUAUAGAACGGACCCAAAUUACUUUGCCAGGCUUCGCACAUUACACACAUGCUUCAAAUCUGGAUUUUUGUUGUUGUUGUUGUUGGCUUUUUGAGAAUUUAAGUAAACAAACGUCAAUGUCAAAAACGAAGUAAUUUUCAGUCAUUGAUUAACCUUCAUGAGUGUCUUCAUCUCUCACUAAUAUCACUUGGAAGCAUUUUUCACUAAAUAAAGGAUUGGCCAUGUUUUGGGAUGAAACAAAGGCCAAGUCUCCAUAGUCUGACCGGCUAUUUCUGUAGCUAAGUCAUACUGGAUGAAGGAUUGAUAAAACUUCACUCAGAAGGACAUCAGGGCCUAGUAUUUCCUACUUAAGCUGCACAUAGAGAUCAUCUGACAGGUGUUGGGAUAGGGUUUCUGUUGAAAUAUGUAACAAGUGGUUAGAAACCAUGGCGUGAUCUGGCAACUUCCUUCUAUGGGGUGGUUGGACCAGAGGCCAUUUCUGGUAUCCUGUGUUCAGUGUUCCCAUUCUCUACAGAUCAGUGGAGGGGCUGAGCUUGUCAAAUUGUUCAUGAAGCAAACAGACACUACUCUUGACUGUAUAUCCACGUGACUUUUUGGUGAACUGAAAGGUCAAAAUACUAAGCUAAAAUAAAUUAGACCUGGUCCAAUCA